CCGCGGUACCCUGACCGUGCAAAGGUANCAUAAUCAUUUGCCCCUUAAUUAGGGGCUAGCAUGAAAGGACACACGAAAGCUUCCCUGUCUCACAAUAACAAAUAAAAAUUAAUCUUCAAGUGAAAAAGCUUGAAUGAAACUGCAGGACAAGAAGACCCCGUUGAGCUUUAUUCUCUAUAGACUAAAUCAAAUAUUAAAUAUAUCAUAAACCUAAAAAGAAUUUAGUUGGGGUGACUAAGGAACACCAAAAACUUCCUUUUAUUAAUUAGGAUUAUUCUCCAUAUAAAUUGACCCAUUACAUAUGAUCAAAAAAAUAAGCUACCACAGGGAUAACAGGCUAAUCUUUCUCAAGAGCCCAAAUUGUCAGAAAGGAUUGGCACCUCGAUGUUGGCUUAGGGGCCCCUAAUGGUGCAGAAGCCAUAAAUGGUAGGUUUGUUCAACCUUUAAAACCCUAC
rnacentral:rRNA from 1 species